rnacentral:rRNA from 1 species
UACGGAGGGUGCGAGCGUUGUCCGGAAUCAUUGGGCGUAAAGGGCGCGUAGGUGGCCCGGUCAGUCUUUGGUGAAAGCGCGGGGCUCAACCCUGCGUCGGCCAGGGAUACUGCCGCGGCUCGAGCACUGUAGAGGCAGGCGGAAUUCCGGGUGUAGCGGUGGAAUGCGUAGAGAUCCGGAAGAACACCGGUAGCGAAGGCGGCCUGCUGGGCAGUUUAGCUGACACUGAGGCGCGACAGCGUGGGGAGCAAACAGG